CCCCCAGAUUUCUUCUUCUUGAAGCUCUUCUUUCCUGAACGACGUCCACCCACUGCCACCUUUCCUGAACGACAUCUCCGGCCUGCACAAAUCAUAAUCUUCUUCUUCUUCUUCCUAGGAAAUAUCAAAAACCCUGAUACAGAUAACUCUCUACUGCAGAUCGGUCAGAAGAUACUCCAAAGAUGUUCAGCUUUUAAUGUUCAACUCUGUUUGUGAUUAUCUUUAACCUUUUGCAGAGAGUUUAAUUUGUUGAUGGUGGCCUGGGAUUAUCUUAUCUGAUCUGAUCUUAUGGAGGCGCAGAGA